UACGAAGGGAGCUAGCGUUGUUCGGAAUCACUGGGCGUAAAGCGCACGUAGGCGGGCUUGUAAGUCAGGGGUGAAAUCCCGGGGCUCAACCUCGGAACUGCCUCUGAUACUGCAAGUCUCGAGUCCGGAAGAGGUGGGUGGAAUUCCUAGUGUAGAGGUGAAAUUCGUAGAUAUUAGGAAGAACACCGGUGGCGAAGGCGGCCCACUGGUCCGGUACUGACGCUGAGGUGCGAAAGCGUGGGGAGCAAACAGG
rnacentral:rRNA from 1 species